UUCACAUAUUCUAAUUCAAUAAGCCUCUUAAUCUACAGCUAUUUUUUUGCAAUCUGUAAUCUGUAAAAUUUGUUACGGAAUGAUCAAUCAGAGCAUGGCGAUAAUAUUUCUAGCGUAACAUUUAAAAAGGGCGAAACUGCCAAAUGUAAACAAAUCGAGUUAACGGUCAUUCCGGAUGUACGCGGUUGCACUUUACCUAAUUAACGCGGUUUCAUCUUAAAAUCACUUAAAACUUUCAAAAAAUUAAUAAAAUUCAAUUAGGCGAAACUUUCUAUUGAUGCAUUUUCAUUGGAACGUGAAGUUACGCCUAUUCAAAAUGGGGUGAAUUUUUCUAUUCGUGUAGGGCCAAUAGGCGUAACUGAGUUGACCGUGUGUGACAAAACGGCCUAAUUAGUUUUUGCGUGCAGGACCAAUGGGUCGAUUCACGAUGACGUACACGCUCGUUUUCAUUUAACCAUUUACGGAUGAAAGAUAACCAUUUUUUGUUUUUUGCUGAAGAACUUCCAAUAUGGUUAUUUUCUAUUAUUUUUUUCCUAUGAAAUUUUAACCAUUUUGGUAGUUCUCAAAUGAAACCCACAAGAUGGUUGAAAAUUUCGCCAUUUCAUCGCCGCCAUGUUGAAAGUAAUUUGUUCUGCAGCCGGGUGCGUUCUGCAUGGAAGAAAGAAAUUCAAGCUUUUCUUCCACUUAGUAGUGAACAUGAUCCGAAGAACAUCCUCUGGUCCAAAGGAUACCGAAAUGUGGAAAGUUUGCCGGAACUGCAAAUGCAGGAUUUGCGAGCUUAUAAGCCCGUUUAGCUGUACUGGAUUCCACCUAAUGUGACUCUGGAGCUGGCUUCGGAUUAUACGACUCAGCUGGAGCAACCGAAUAUACCCAUAGCUGGUGUGAUGCAGCGGAAAAGUGAAAACAGCAGCUAGAAUAUCAAGUUCCUAUCCAUGAUCUGGAUGCCAGUUGCCAUUUAGGAAUCAUAAUCCGACGAACAUCCUUUGGUCCAGUAAGGAUGCCGAAAUCUGAGGAUCCUCAGAUAAUCGGGAGCUGAAUAUUAAUCCGACCAGGUGCUGCGCAAUUGUUCCACCAAGAUAAUUUGAUGGUAUGCGGUAAUUUUCCGUACUAUUUGGGGGGUCAGACUGCCGGAAAAACAUCAUCCGGCUGUGGAGUGUUGGAAACACCUCGCUGAACAACGGAUUAGUGCUGUUGGUGCUGAUCAUCCGCUAGGAGCUCAACAGAAUACCCUCAAAAUGUUCUACUUGGACUUCUUCCGGAAAAGCAUUUACCGGUCCCUAUCGUUCCUGGCUAUGUUUUGCGAUCCCGGAUCCUAUUUUUCCGAAUCACUAGCAGAGCCAAAGGAUCGGGACAGUGAAAGCACAGAGAAGUGAAAGUAAGUGGUUCGAUGCCGAU